UCAACUGAGAUUGCCUUAGUAAUGGCGAAUGAACCGGCAAAAGCUCAUUGCUGAAGCGGACUAAAUUUACUUUUGGUACGCAUUGUAGCAUUUGGGGUAACUACUGUAUGGUGCCUGUUCGUGUGAGUUCCUUUGAUCAGGGCUUUAACCAUAGAAGGUGCUAGUCCUAUAAUCACGAAUAGUUUUGUGCUGUACAUGGUAUACCUUUCGAGUAGCGUAGUUUGAGAUUGCUACGCCAACGUGGGACGUAAACUUGUUCCAAAGCUAAAUAUUAUAACGAGACCGAUAGCGAACAAGUACCGUGAGGGAAAGUUGAAAAGCACUCUGAAGAGAGAGUUAAAUAGUACGUAAAACCGUACAGAAGAAAACGAAUGGCCGCAUUCAUCAGAUUACUUUGGAUUCAAUUUGAUCUCUCUAUGAUGGUGAUACAUGUCGAUUUUUCGGAACUUCAACAGUCCAUCGAUGUGUUUUCUAUUGCCUGGAGUCGAAUGCAUUUUCAAAGUAUUAACUGAACCUGGAUCUAUAAUAUUGAAAGCUAAUCGAAUCAGUCUAUUUUGGUAGCGAAUAUUUAUAUUCGUGUUUAAAAUAUGACUUGCAUAAAUAACAAAUUCGAUUUGGCAUUAUAGGUAAACAGACAUUUGUUCUUUGAUUUCAGUACUUUCGAGUACGGCAUGUUGUGAGCAUUGUUUGUGUCACAUGAGUAACUAAUAUUUAACCGAUAUUAGUUUUAUUCAUCGUCGAUGCUUAAUGUUUCAUGGCUGUCAAUGAAAUCGGCAAGUCUACAGGAGUUUUGAAUGCCGAGUUAUUCGACCCGUCUUGAAACACGGUCUAAGGAGUUCACUGCAUGUGCAAGAGUUCGGCUGUAUGAAAAGCCUUGCUCGUAAUGAAAGUAAAGAACAUUCUUGCAAUGUUUUAAGUGUGAUUUCUGUCAUCUGGUGCAAAUCAUGACAAUGAACGCAACACUGACAGGUUCUAUUGCCGUUGGCAAAGAGCUUAGUAAGAGUAUAUGCAAUGAGACCCGAAAGAUGGUGAACUUAAUGUGUGUAGAAUGAAGCCAGGGGAAACCCUGGUGGAAGUUCGUAGCGGUUCUGACGUGCAAAUCGAUCGUCAAAC
rnacentral:rRNA from 1 species